rnacentral:rRNA from 1 species
CUCGUAGGCGGCUGGUCGCGUCUGUCGUGAAAUCCUCUGGCUUAACUGGGGGCUUGCGGUGGGUACGGGCCGGCUUGAGUGCGGUAGGGGAGACUGGAACUCCUGGUGUAGCGGUGGAAUGCGCAGAUAUCAGGAAGAACACCGGUGGCGAAGGCGGGUCUCUGGGCCGUUACUGACGCUGAGGAGCGAAAGCGUGGGGAGCGAACA